rnacentral:tRNA from 1 species
GAUAUAGCUCAGUUGGUAGAGUGUUUGUCUCACAUGCACAGGGUCCUGGGUUUAAAUCCCUAGUAUC